UGUUUGUGACUUAGUUGGAUAAAGCGCCGGACUAACGAUACGGAGCCGUAGGUUCGAAUCCUAUCAAAACAA
rnacentral:tRNA from 1 species